rnacentral:rRNA from 1 species
GAUGAACGCUAGCUACAGGCUUAACACAUGCAAGUCGAGCGACCGGCGCAUGGGUGAGUAACACGUAUCCAACCUGCCCGUUACUCGGGGCUAGCCUUUCGAAAGAAAGAUUAAUCACCGAAGUCAUGGAUGGGGAGGCGUUCCUUUAGGUUGUUGGUGAGGUAACGACUCACCAAGACAUCGAUGGAUAGGGGUUCUGAGAUGAAGUACCCCCAGAUUGGAACUGGGACACGGUCCAAACGCGUACGAGAGGAAGCGGUGAGGAAGAUUGGUAAAGAAGCGUGAGCCUGAAACAGCCAGGUAGCGAGAAGGAUGAAUGCAUGUGGGGCUGAAACUUCUUAUAUAUAAGAAUAGGUAUUAAAUGAAUAAGGAUCGGCUAACUCCGUGCCAGCAGCCGCGGUAAUAC